rnacentral:rRNA from 1 species
CAGUGAGGAAUAUUGGACAAUGGGUGCAAGCCUGAUCCAGCCAUCCCGCGUGAAGGACGACGGCCCUAUGGGUUGUAAACUUCUUUUGUAUAGGGAUAAACCUUUCCACGUGUGGAAAGCUGAAGGUACUAUACGAAUAAGCACCGGCUAACUCCGUGCCAGCAGCCGCGGUAAUACGGAGGGUGCAAGCGUUAUCCGGAUUUAUUGGGUUUAAAGGGUCCGUAGGCGGAUCUGUAAGUCAGUGGUGAAAUCUCACAGCUUAACUGUGAAACUGCCAUUGAUACUGCAGGUCUUGAGUAAGGUAGAAGUGGCUGGAAUAAGUAGUGUAGCGGUGAAAUGCAUAGAUAUUACUUAGAACACCAAUUGCGAAGGCAGGUCACUAUGUCUUAACUGACGCUGAUGGACGAAAGCGUGGGGAGCGAACAGGAUUAGA